UCCAAACCCUAAUUUCACUCACUCUCUCUCAAUCACAGCAUAAAUUUUCAAACAUACCUGAUGUAAAAAGUCCUCCAGCCUCGAUCGAUGGAUUUAUAGGAAGUGAAGAUAAAGAAGCCAAGGAAAUUCAAAGAAGUUGAAAAGAAGAAGACAACGAAGAAAGACGAUAAAAAAGCUAAAGUGGAAGAAGCUCCAGCUGGUUAUAUUCAUGUAAGAGCAAGGAGGGAACAGGCAACAGAUAGUUACAGCCUUGCAGAAAGGGCACUCAAAAAACUGUUCUUCAAAUAUUUCUAUUAGAAUUUUUAUUUUUUAUUUUUACCGUAGUUUCCUCGAAAAUAAUCCUAUUAAAUUACCAAAAUUUGGAAUAUUGAUUUUCACAAUUUAUUUUCUAAUUAUUUCAAGCGGGGAGGGAAAGAAUAAGUGAAAGAAUGAAGCUUCUCCAAGCUCAUGUUCCUGGUUGUGACAAGGUGAAUAUUAUGAAUCACAAAUAAUAUUACAUGCACAAAAAAUUAACAUUUUCCUCCUUCGAGGAUGGGGAGUACAAUGAAAGAACUAAAGAAACUAUACUUCAUUUGUUUAGUGUCUUUGUGGCUCCUAAAUUACAUUCAGACUCACUGUUUGAAAGAAAUUUUGUCGGAAAGUCGAUAUACAUAAUUGUCUCUGUAUGUAGAAAUUCUAUUCUGUUCAAAGUUCUUCAUCCGAGAGCUUCAUGUGAAUCGAGUGAUAAACAGGUAACUGGGAAGGCCCUUAUGUUUGAUGAAAUAAUCAACCAUGUCCAGUCCCUGCAAAAUCAAGUGAAGUUUAUCUCGAUGAAACUCACUUCGAAUAAUCCCAUGUUCUACGACUUCGAAAUGGAUUUUAGAACCAUUCAUGGUUAGACCUGACCAGGACGGGCAAUUGAAGUGGGUUGUGCUUAAAUUUUGAUCGUUUUAGGUAGAGAACUGCUGCAGUUGUUAAAUGUGCACAUGAUUGGUCGCUUGCUGGAAUGCUGCUCGUGGAAUUGAUUGUUCUACUUUGCUUUGUAGUGAUUAAUUCUAAGGAUUAUAAGUUUGAUUUCGAUCUUAUUCGGUUUUCAGCAUGAUAAUCCAUUGGCACAGUUUAGUGUAUGUGGGAAAGUUUUAGCUAAAUUUGAUUGUUGAUAUCGAGUUUCUGGUUUUAUUCUGGUGUUAUAAUUGAUUUGAUUGUGGGAGGGAUGUGAACUUCAAAAGUUUGGUCUUUUACUCGGGGUUCUAGUAUGAGAAUCAAUUAGGCAGUUUCGUCCAUGUCAGGAAGCUUAAUUCCUAUUUCUUUGUUUCUGGCAUUAUUGAGUUUGUGAAUCUAUUCUGGUGGUCUAAUUGAAUCUCAUAGAAAGAUUUUAAGGUGUUGAGCUGUCUGUAAAGAGAACAUUUGUUUAUUAUGGAUAUGGAUUUAAUACAUGGAAGAAAGAGAUUUGGGGCUCA